rnacentral:rRNA from 1 species
GCAUUCAGUUGCCAACGGUAAGGCCGGGCGACUCUGGAUGGACGUGCCGGCGACAAGCCGGAGGAAGUGGGGAGUGACGUCAAGUCAUCAUGGCCCUUAUGUCCAGGGCGACACACGUGCUACAAUGGCCGGCACAGCGGGAAGCGAGGGGGCGACCUUGGGCGGAUCCCUCAAAGCCGGUCUCAGUUCGGAUUGCAGUCUGCAACUCGACUGCAUGAAGUUGGAAUCGCUAGUAAUCGUGGAUCAGCCAAGCCGCGGUGAAUACGUUCCCGGGCCUU